rnacentral:hammerhead_ribozyme from 1 species
GGUGGCUGACGAGUCCCAAAUAGGACGAAACACGCGUCCUGGAU